rnacentral:RNase_P_RNA from 1 species
GUCAGAAACUGACUGGCGGUGGACUGUUUUGCUUGCAUUACAUGUCUGCUGAGGAAAGUCCGCCCACUAUAUAUCGGCUGCUUUUGCAAUGGAGCUUCUCCAGGGCACAAGUCCCGGAAACGGGAGGCAACCGCUCAGAAACGAUACCACCUGGCAGAUGCUAUGAUGCUUGCGAAGGCUGUGGCGACACAGCUGAGCUAACCAGCUGAGUCUGCUGUCAGGAAAGGAUGAAACGGCGAGCCCCGGCCAGUGCAAGUCAUAUUGACGCUAAGUAGAAUGUCAGUGCAGGUCAUCGCAAUAUAAUGCAAUUAUAUUGUUCGGGCCUGACAGAAGGCGGCUUAUUCUGAC